GAAAAGGGCAGUGCUGGGUUGGAACUCCACUUAGCAGCUAAAGUUCAUCCUCUGAAGUCUGGGAAGUCCAAGCUCAAGGUGAAGCCUCCUCAGGUGGCAAAGAGCAGAAGCACAAAAGAGACCAAACUCCCUCCCUCAAGCUCUUUUACAAGAACACUGAGACAUUCACAAGUGCUGAGUCCUCAAACCUACUAACCUCCUGAAGGCUACACCUCAAAUACGGAUUGAAUUUUCGCAUGAGUUUUGAGGGACACCCAUUCAAAGCAUAGCACCCUUCGGCUUCAGAGAAGCUCCAGCCCUGUUGUCACCAAGCAGGUUCCCCCUAGGCAGAGCGCCAAGAAGCAGCCCAGGCGAUCCCAAGGCGCACAAGUGCUCUCACCAGGCUGCGCGCUGGCGGGUCGGUGCACAGGGACGGGGUCGCCGCCCACGCGCGCUUGGUUCAGGGAGCCCAGGCUGUCCCUACCCGCGGCUACAAAAGCUCGCCGAGUCUUCCUGUCCACCCAAUCGCCCCACAUGUCAGCGGUUGGUCGCCUCGCGGUGCAGUGCUGGGCACGCGAGCCCCUCCCGCAGUCAUUCUCAGCACAAGCACCAGCCUGGAGCCCCGCAGCGACAGAGCUGAGAGCCCCCAAGCCGCAGAGGUCGUGCGGAGCAGGUUGCAAAUGUCUUAGAAACACACUCCUGGACCACAGCUUCAAGAGACGCAAGCAGUCACCUCAUCUGCUGGUUUCCAAGCUGCCCUGCCAGAAGCAGGUCAGGGGUCCCACAGGGGUCCUCAGUAACUCCUCAAAAUCCUCUCCCAUCAAUGGCCCCACCAGAUCAUCCCUACUUUUGAAUGCUUGUCCAAUGCAGGUUCCAGAUUUGAUUAAGUGAAACAAAGCCCCAGCUGCUGGAGCAGAGGUUCCACUUGGGUUCCACAGACACCCACAGCCCAAAUCCCUGGAGGCCUAAGGCAAUAGCUAAUUGAGACUAUGCAUCACUAUUAAGGCAUCUUCACUAAAGGGCGCUGUGGAAACGCUGCCUGAGAUGCAGACACCUGUCAGAAGGGGGCUAAAUUUCAAACAAGGAACGUGGUGUUGCAUCACAAUAAAAACAGAAGAAACACACGUGUUCUUGUGUGUAAACCCAGUCCAUGGAAGAGACCGUCUGCUUGUCCCUCCUGAUCUCUGGGCCCAGACAACCAGUAGUCACCAUUCCAAGUGAGGGGUGGCUGCAACUCUACAGCCCCGUUCGUCUCUCCUCACUGUCAAAGCUGCUGAGACCCCAGACUCGACACUUGAAAGAAACCCAUGUCUGUGAAGCACUUGUGGACCAUUCAAGAUUGUGGAAGAAUCACUCAAGAGAAGGAGAUAGCAAUAUUUGCAGAUAUGCAAACUGGCCCCUUGCAUGCACAUCCUGGAGCACGUCCUGGAGCCUUUAGAGGAGACGGCUGCUGCUGUUCCAGUCUCUCCUUAGGCAGACUUGAGUUUCUACCCACUCUUCCCAAGCAGCCGCCCCUCCGCACCCGAGCGAGCCAAAGACCUGGCGGGCUGAGUACUCACUGCGCGCUGGACACAUGCUGAGCCGGCACUGCAGGGACACAGGGCGAGCCGCUGGAUGCAGACCUGUGGCCGCGGCAGUUGGGCUUAUCUUGCCCAUGAAGUUGCCUCUGAAGAACCAAGUCCAACUGUGUAUGCUGAGAGAUGUCUGGCUACUUCCUGAUUGACAGUUCUGGCAAGGUGGCAUUGGGCCCUGGCUUUUCCUCUGGAGGCAUCAUCACUUAUAGGAAAAUGUCCCCUGAAGUCCAAGGAUCAAAGCUGCUGGAACACUGAGAAGCUGAACAAAGGAGAACUGUUUCUCAUCAAACCCAGACUUCCAGACUUCCAAUAGGGUAGAAUGAGCAAGUCAGCAAAUCAUCUUCCUUGGAAACAGUGAUAAAACUAGAUGACAUUGUCAACAACAGCCAUUUCAGAAAUCUAGAAAAUGACCAAAGGCAAACAACAAACUGAGAAGCAUUUUUUUUUCCAUGAAAAAUCGCUCUAUUUCUGCAAAAAUAGUGGGAGUCUAUGGCUUCUCAUCCAGGGCUGUUUCUCUCCCCACCCCAGCUCAGUCAGUACAAAGGUUCUGGCAGCAUGAGGCAGACUGAACAGACCUGAAGUUUGAUUGCUGGAAGAAACUGACUCCAGGUUUGGCAGAGGGUGAGAAACCUACUCCCAGCCAUGUUGUCUGGUGACACAGUGACCUUAGGGACAAGUGAAUAGGGAAGGCCAGUGAUUCAUUAACCUGAGGUUGCAGUCCUGGUUGGGGAAAGCAUCAGAAUGGCAGAUAAGCUAGAAAUUUAGUAGGGAUAUGCUGGAAAUGAGACAACCCCAAAGGGGCUUGACCCCAAAGUUGUCCACACACCCCAGCUGCCUUCUGAGCAGAUGUAGGGAGAGACCAGAGAAGGCCUAGGCUAUCCACACAUCUCUGGCUAACCCAGGCUGUAAACCUGUGGAGGAGACACAAGAGGUGGAUUGAUUGCUAAUGGGCAUAUGGGGGAUCUUACUGGUUGAUAGGAACAUUCUCAAAUUGGAUUGUGGUGAUGCUUGCACAACUCUAAGUUUAUCCCAAAUUGCUAAAUUUUACACUAAAAAGGGGUGAACUUUAGGGUAUAUAAAUUAUACAUCAAUAAAGUUGUCAUAAAGCAUUCACAUUCUAAUAAAUGGCUCUAAGAAAUAUUGUUUUGAAAAUUUUCCUUUGGUAUAUUAUGGCACUCCAAAAUCAACUUCUGUCAGAACAAUAAUUAACUAUUUCUGAUUAUAGAUAUUGGUCAUCUACAAUGAUUUAUUCAGUCUUUUAUGUCCCGCAUAAGGGCUUAGAAUGCUUUAAAUUUCUAAGACCAUCAAUAGCCAGGACUCACCUGAAAACUAUAUAUAUUUUUAAAAAGACGUAUGCUCUGGGACACCAUAUGCUAACAUUUGUUGAGCACACAGUUUGCUACAGAGGUUAAGAGGUGUACUAUUUAAAUCUAAC
rnacentral:lncRNA from 1 species